AGCUGAUCUGCCCAGGGUAAGUCGGGACCUAAGGCGAGGCCGACAGGCGUAGUCGAUGGAUAACCGGUUGAUAUUCCGGUACCCGCUGUGAAGCGUCAAACAUCGAAUCCAGUGAUGCUAAGCCCGUGAAGCCGUUCCGGACC
rnacentral:ncRNA from 1 species